rnacentral:ncRNA from 1 species
AGUAAAUUACCGCCGGGUAAACGUCUUAUACUUGUUCCGUCAGGCCAUAGAAGGAACGAGCGUAGGGCGUUUUUAUUU